rnacentral:tRNA from 1 species
GGAAAGAUGCCAGAGUGGUCGAAUGGGCCGCACUCGAAAUGCGGUGAACGGGUAACUGUUCCGGGGGUUCGAAUCCCUCUCUUUCCG